rnacentral:rRNA from 1 species
UAAUACGAAGGGGGCUAGCGUUGCUCGGAAUUACUGGGCGUAAAGGGCGCGUAGGCGGACAGUUAAGUCGGGGGUGAAAGCCCGGGGCUCAACCUCGGAAUUGCCUUCGAUACUGGCUGUCUUGAGUACGGGAGAGGUGUGUGGAACUCCGAGUGUAGAGGUGAAAUUCGUAGAUAUUCGGAAGAACACCAGUGGCGAAGGCGACACACUGGCCCGUUACUGACGCUGAAGCGCGAAAGCGUGGGGAGCAAACAGGAUUAGAUACCCUGGUAGUCCACGCUGUAAACGAUGAGUGCUAGUUGUCGGCCGGCAUGCCGGUCGGUGACGCAGCUAACGCAUUAAGCACUCCGCCUGGGGAGUACGGUCGCAAGAUU